ensembl:lncRNA LINC01833 long intergenic non-protein coding RNA 1833
GCGCGGCCCGGUGCUGGUAGAGCACUGACCCCGAAGGGGAUUUAGCGGGAAGAGAGUGGCCGGGCUCUGGGGGUUUUGUCCGAGGGGGCCGGGAGAGGCCGAGACACAAGAAUAAGGAGCGGCCGCGGCAUGAAAGGCGGCGAGGAGAGGCAGCACUGCUGCUCUUGACUUCUGAGCAGGGCUUAGAGAGCCUGCCCCGGCUUAAGCCGAGCUGCUGGUGCUGACCCUGAGCGCCGAGUCCGCGAGCUCUGAGUCCGGAGCCUCCCAGCCGUGGAGCCGUGGGAUGAGGGGGGCGUUGGGGGACAGGGCAAAGUCGAUCUUGGUUGUACAGCCGCCCGAUCCUAGCGCGGAGCUGCGAGCCUGACCGGCCGCGUCUGGCAUGGUCAGAGAAAGAAUUUUCUUUUCCCAACUCCGGCUUUUGGUUUUGUGUGUCCACCUUGCGCAACUCCGGAGCCAGCCGACCCCACAUGGAUUCUCAACAGGUGGCCGGUGUCAACGCGCUAGAGAGGCCGUCUCACCUCCAAAGGUAUCUUCACUCCCGGAGGGCCCGGGCUCCCAGCCGCAGUCCCACACUGGGCCCGCGCGCCGGAUACGAGGUGCUCCGACGGCAAAAAUCCCAUACAUUUUUAACUACAGUGAUUACUAAAUUAAUAGCAGGCACUAAGACAGAUGUCAAAACGUCUUGAAAAUGUUUAUCUGUGAAUAAUUGAGAAGGUGGUGGGACGCAUUAUCUGAUUGUGUAAUGAAAUAUGUAUGAGGAA